rnacentral:tRNA from 2 species
GGGUGAUUAGCUCAGCUGGGAGAGCAUCUCCCUUACAAGGAGGGGGUCGGCGGUUCGAUCCCGUCAUCACCCA